UACGUAGGGCGCAAGCGUUGUCCGGAAUUAUUGGGCGUAAAGAGCUCGUAGGCGGUUUGUUACGUCCGCUGUGAAAUCCUAGGGCUUAACCCUGGGCUUGCAGUGGAUACGGGCAGACUAGAGGUAGGUAGGGGAGAGUGGAAUUCCUGGUGUAGCGGUGAAAUGCGCAGAUAUCAGGAGGAACACCGGUGGCGAAGGCGGGUCUCUGGGCCGAUACUGACGCUGAGGAGCGAAAGCGUGGGGAGCGAACAGG
rnacentral:rRNA from 1 species